GCUGGGCGAGGUGGCGCAUACCUGUAAUCCCAGCAUCUUGGGAGGCUGGGGUGGAAGGAUUGUGAGUUCAUAGCCAGGUUUAGCAGCUUAGUGAGGCCCUAAGCAACUCAACAAAUGCUGUCUCUA
rnacentral:sRNA from 1 species